UCAGCUUUUCCUCUUUCAUCGUCCAUUGGCAAAGUUUCUUCUUUUUUGAUAGUUCUAAUUCUAAAGAGAAGGCUUUCCCCUCCCCUGCCCCCUUAUUUAUGCUUAGAUUCAGGUUGGAUCAUCUCCCUGCAAAAGUUUACAUCUUUAGAGAGCUGGCUCCAUUAAAAAUAGGCUUUUUAUUCAUCCAGGGAAAAUAGAUUGUGAACAAGCAACAAAACCAGCAUUCUUUUCACUCCACCCUUCUAGCCACCUCCUAGCCUACUUUUCAUGAUAGGAGCAGCCUUCUACAAUUUCCUGUUUCUGGUGAACAUGUGCAGCCAUUUUUGCUCAAAAAAAAAAAAAAAAAAAAUCCAGUCAAUGCAAUAUAUAGAGUAAUUUCUAAUCCCAUCUCCGUCUCUUCAACAUACACAUAUUUCUGUUUCUCUGAUGUUUUACACAAAAGGCUUUGAGCAAAAACCUUUUUCCACAUUGACCUCUUUUGCUAGAAUUGGGAAUUGAACCCAAAUGUAAGUGCUUUCGAAAGGCCUCUCUGCCUCUUACAGCUGUUCAUCGUUUCUUUUUAUCAUGAGUUUUCUGAUGUCGAGUAAGUUUGGAGUUUAAGCUAAAAGCUUUUCCACAUUGGUUACAUACAAAAGGUUUCUCUCCAGUAUGGAUUUUCAUGUGUUUGUUAAGAUUGGAGUUAUUGUUAAAGACCUUUUGACAUUCACCACAUUUAUAGAGUUUUUCUUUGGUAUGAAUGUUUUUAUGCCGGUUAAAAUCUGAGCAGAAGCGAAAGGUCUUUUGGCAUUCAGGACACGUAAAGGGCCGCUCUUCAGAAUGAGUUUUCUGAUGUUUAAUGACGCUUGACUGAUACUUAAAGGUUUUGUCACAAACAUUACACUUGUAUGGCCUCUCUCCAGUAUGACUUCUUUGAUGUUGAGUUAGGUCUGAGAAACGGACAAAGGUCUUUUUACAACUGCUACAGAUGUACUGUUUCUCUCCAGUGUGAACGUGUUGAUGACGCUGCAGAUCGAUGAGCUGGGUAAAGGCCUUUUCACAGUUGUCACAUGAAAAGGACUUCUCUCCAGUGUGAAUUUUCUGAUGUUUUUUAAGAUUGGAGCUGCUCUUGUAGGACUUGUCACAGUCAUGACAUUUGUAGGGUCUCUCUCCGGUAUGAACUCUCUGAUGGAGGACAAACUGUGAGUAUGGGCUGAAGUCCUUUUUGCAAUAAUUACACGUGUAGCAUUGCUUUCUCACGUGAAUUUUUUGGUGCUGCAUUUUCUCUGCGAAACUGUCGAAGGCCCUUCCACAAGACUUGCAGGCAAAGAGUUUCUUUCGAGAAUGAGGUUUUUGGUGGAGGAUCAGGUUUGGUCUCUUGCCGACGUGAAGCCUGUGGUGAACGUUAAAGGAGGAGAGAAACCUGAAGGCCUUUUGACACACACCACACUUGUAGGGCUUCAGACUGCUGUGCGUAUCCUGGUGCUGAAUAAACUUGGAAGUCCUGUUAAAGGUUUUUCCGCACUGGUUACACUCCAAGUGCUUAUCCGGAAUAGAGAGUCUUUGAAGCGUUGUAAAGGAUGAGGGAUGUCUGAAGGCCUUUGCGUUUUGGCCCGGUUUGUGGGCUUUCUGUACCGUGUGAAUUCUCCGAUGUCCAGUAAGAUGGGAGGGGUGGCUGAACGCCAUGCCGCAGCCCUCACAGUCAUAAGGCUGGACAAAAGUACAGAACUUUUGAUAUUUCGCAUGGUGACAGCUCGGUCUGAUGCUAGUCACAGAUUCACUAAGGGCAUGAUAACUGGCCAGUGCUGGCUGACAUGCUGUCGGGAGAACAAUAGGAGGGAAGCCGAAUUAAAUUCAGGCACUGCCACAAACAUCAAGAUCAUUAGUAAGUGGGGUGCGGGGAGGGAACGGCUCAGUGACUGGGGACUUCAGAGAGGUAGGAGGAAGGAGAGACCCAGUCUCCAAGUAGAAGAAUAAUUUAAACGACCAACAGGUGGCCCGUGAAAGAUUUCUGUAAACUUGAAAUACUUACAUUGGUGACCAUGUAAAAAAAAAAAAAAAAAAAAAAAAAAAAAGGCAAGUAGUUAAAAUUUUAAAUACCAAAUCACCAAAGCUUAAAGAAUCUAAAAAGAAUCACAUGAAAUUCUAGCGGGGAGUAAAGGUUAAUUUUCAUUAAGAUCCUUUAAAAUAGCUCUGCCAUAUAGAUACAGCAAUUUGUAAAAGUGAUUAUACUUUAAAUAUUUUCCAUUAAACGAUAAAAUUGGGGGUAUUUAUAUGAAUAGAUAUAAACCUGGCUUCUUAAUUUUACUGGUGUAUGAUGUAGAUUUUAUAUAUUUUACUGUAGGACAGAGUCAAUAUUGAUUGGGCCAGUGCUCUACUUGGGUAGUUGAGUUGUAUUUUUGUUACUUCAAAGAACAACAAGCACAUCUUAUAUAUCCAUCCUUGUAAAAAUUUUUUGAAAUGAAUUCUAGGUGUAGAUUCUUCAAAAUGAGAGGGAGUCCCAAAUUCUGAUACACACACUACACUCAAGCUUUAUGAUGCACAAGCACAUCAUUUUCUAGUAUCUUGAUGACCCACUGUUAAACUUAACUUUUUUGUCAGAGUGUGGGGCUAGAAGUUCUAGCUUUUGUGAUAAAAGAAACCUAAAUUAAAAUUGGUUAAUUGCUAGGGAAAAAAAUCAUUUUGAGCAUUUCUGCAGAACAUAGAAAGUAUUAUAGAGAUUAAUAAAUAUAAAAAAUUUUACAUUGCCAAGAUGGUGAGCUAGCAUGGCUUUCUGUGAUCUUCCUCAUUCUAGAUCUUGAGAGGUACUGAAGUGAAAAUGGAUGGGUACCAAGGAAUAGUUUAAAACAGACAGGAGUAAUAUUUUCUAAAAGAUAAAGGUCAUUAUAACAUAAGACAGGAUCAGGUGAGAAUUAAAAAGAACAAAGUAGAAAUAACUGGUUUGAAGGUAUAAGGUUUAAAUAAACUUAAUAGUUCCCAUUUAUAGCAAAAUUAUGCAAAGACAAAGCAGGAACAUGGAGAUCCUGGUUGGAGAACUUGAGGAAAAGGGCUGAAGAACUCAAAAGCUGGAAUAGAAGGACUAAAAGAGAAGGAUCACCAUCCAUUAAUAGAAGUCCUCGAGAGGAAAGAAAAAAAAAAAAAAAAAAAAGUGAGAGGAUUUACCAACUUCACAUGGCUGAGUACACGGGCAGCUGGAAGAGAGGAGAAAGAAGGAAGGACCAGAAAAAAAAAAAUAUUUGAGGGAAUAAUGACCAAAAACUUUCCCAACACAAUGAAAACUAUAAGCCCACACAUUCAAGGAGCCCCACAAAUCCAAACUUGAGAAACGUGGAGAGACACCAAGGCACAUGAUGAUCAGGUUGUUCAAGAUCAGCAAUAAAGAGAAAACUUUUUUGAAAAAAGAAUAAAAAAGACAUUCUGCACAUUGAACAAAGAUCAGGAUGAUGAAGGACAUCAGAUUUCCCACUGGAAACACUACAGGCAAAACAAUAACAAA